rnacentral:lncRNA from 1 species
AUGCAGACAGUUCCAGGCUUCCCUUUCCAGCCCCUGAAGGGUCUUUGCAAAUAUCUUUCAUUUUAUGUCCAAUAUCCCCUAAAAUACAUAUGGGUGUCACAUCAACCCAUACAGAACACCAAGAUCUCACCUCCUACUCUAGGUCACACUAGAAAGAGCAAAGCACCUCAAAAUUCAGAAAUAACAACCAAACCCAGGAACAAAUGUGACUGCCGCAAGAGCUCACAAUCUAGGCCCUAAUUCCUGUAUGUGAGAGCUUUUUCCAAACAAAAGUUACUUCCCCAAACAAAAACAUUUAACAAUCAAAACUCAUAUUGAGGUCAUCAACCCCCGACCACAGCAGAAACGUAGUGUAGGUGAGGACAGAGUGUAGACAGAGAAAAAGGGAAAACAAGAGGCUCUCUGGUUUCAGCUUCUCCAGGGUGUCACCAAUCUCCAUCACUGGACCAGGACCCGCUGCGGAAACCUAGGGCACAAACGGGAGACACGCAUCAGAGAGGUCAACGCGGGGGGGACGCAAAGCCCACCACGCAGGUCGCCCCUCUCGGGAAGCCGCCUGACUCAUCCCGGCCUUCGGGUGCCGCAGGUCGUUUAUUUCGCAGUCGCUCCCGCGGGUGCGACCGGGCGGACACCGAGCCGGCCUCCCGCGCAGCAUCGCCCCUACGUCCCCGGCCGCGCGGCCCCCGCGCCCACGUGGCCGCGCCCGCUCACCGCCGUCACGCCGACUCGCCCUUCUCUAUCCGCCGCACC